rnacentral:rRNA from 1 species
GACAGCAGUAGCCGCGGUAAUGCGUAGGUCCCGAGCGUUGUCCGGAUUUAUUGGGCGUAAAGCGAGCGCAGGCGGUUAGAUAAGUCUGAAGUUAAAGGCUGUGGCUUAACCAUAGUACGCUUUGGAAACUGUUUAACUUGAGUGCAAGAGGGGAGAGUGGAAUUCCAUGUGUAGCGGUGAAAUGCGUAGAUAUAUGGAGGAACACCGGUGGCGAAAGCGGCCCUCUGGCUUGUAACUGACGCUGAGGCUCGAAAGCGUGGGGAGCAAACAGGAUUAGAUACCCCAGUAGUCCCUGUCUCUUAUACA